UACGUAGGGUGCGAGCGUUGCCCGGAUUUAUUGGGCGUAAAGGGCGCGUAGGCGGCUCGGCACGUCCGUUGUGAAAUCGCCCGGCUCAACUGGGCGGGGUCAGCGGAUACGGUCGAGCUUGAGCAAGCUAGGGGGCAAUGGAAUUCCCGGUGUAGUGGUGGAAUGCGUAGAUAUCGGGAGGAACACCAGUGGCGAAGGCGGCUGCCUGGCCCAAUACUGACACUCAGGUGCGACAGCGUGGGGAGCAAACAGGG
rnacentral:rRNA from 1 species